GCCAGGCACAGCUGUGCAGGCCUACAGUCCCAGCUACUCGGAAGCAGGAUGGCUUGAGCCCAAGAGUUUUGAUCGGUAAUGCUCUAUGCUGAUGGGGUAUCCGAUUAAGUUGGCAUCAGUAUGGUGACCUCCCAGGAGUGGGGACUACCAGGGUGCCUAAGGAGUGAACUGGCCCAGGUUGAAAACGGAGCAGGUCAAAACUCUUGUGCUGAUCAACUGGGAAUAAAGGUAUGACAAAAAUACUUUCCUUUGUACCCACAGUAAACUUU
rnacentral:SRP_RNA from 1 species